CUAGCCUUGACAUAUAUUAGAACACUUUAGAGAUAGAGUGGUGCCUUCGGGAGCUUUUAUACAGGUGCUGCACGGCUGUCGUCAGCUCGUGUCGUGAGAUGUUGGGUUAAGUCCCGCAACGAGCGCAACCCUCGUCACUAGUUACUAACGGUUCGGCCGAGGACUCUAGUGAGACUGCCUUCGCAAGGAGGAGGAAGGUGAGGACGACGUCAAGUCAUCAUGGCCCUUACGGCUAGGGCAACACACGUGCUACAAUGGCCAGGACAAUGAGAGGCGAUACCGCGAGGUGGAGCAAAUCUAUAAACCUGGUCUCAGUUCGGAUUGUAGUCUGCAACUCGACUACAUGAAGCUGGAAUCACUAGUAAUCGUAGAUCAGCUAUGCUACGGUGAAUACGUUCCC
rnacentral:rRNA from 1 species